AAGAUGAAUAUUAAUAGUUAGAUUUGUUGUAUAUUAUUUUAAUUAAAGUAAUUUUAUUAGGGUUGAUUUUAGUAUAGUUUAUAGAAAUAAUAGUAUAAUUUAUAGUGAAGGAGUAUUGUGGAAGAAAUAUGAAAUAAUUGAAAGAUUGAUUUUUAUAAAAGUAAAUUAAUAAUUGUACCUUGUGUAUCAGGGUUUAUCAAUAGUUUUAUAAAGAUUAUAUAAUUCUCGAGUUGAAAAGAGCUAAUGUGAUAUGCAAGUUAAUGUAACAUAAUUAUUUGUAAUAACAUAUUAGUAAUGAAAUGUUAUUCGUUUUUUAAGAUAUCUAGUUUUCUAAGAAAUGAAUUUAAUUCAGUCUAAAUUUUGUAAUUAUUUAAAUUGGUUAAUUAAUUAUUUUAUUUAGAAAAUGAUUUGGGGGAUAAGCUUCGAAUCAUAAAUUAUAAUAUAUAAUUUUAUUUAAAAAUGUAGGCUUUAAAUUAGCUAUCUAUUUAAUAAUGUUAUAAAUUAUUUUAUAGUAAUAUGAUUUUAUAAAAAAUUUAAUUUUUAUAUUAGAAUUAUUUAAAUAAUAAUGAUUUAUGUGGAAUAAUGAUAAAAUUAGUAUAAUAAAAUGUAAGAGUAGUUUAAUUUUGUAAUUUAUUUUAAGGAAUUAGGCAAAGAGAAUAUUCGCCUGUUUAACAAAAACAUGUCUUUUAGAAGGUAUAUUUAAAGUCGGGCCUGCCCACUGAUGAAUUGAAGGGCCGCGGUAUUUUGACCGUGCAAAGGUAGCAUAAUCAUUAGUUUUUUAAUUGAAGGCUAGAAUGAAUGGUUUGACGAAAUAUUAACUGUCUCAAUGUAAUAAUAGAAUUUAACUUUUGAGUUAAAAGGCUUAAAUAAAAGUGGAGGACGAGAAGACCCUAUAGAGUUUUAUAUAUUAUAUAAUAAUUUGUUGUAGGAUCGUGAGAAUAUUUAUAAAAAUAUAUUAUGUUGGGGUGACAUGAAGAUUGAAAUAACUCUUCAUAAUUGAUACAUUGAUGUAUGAAUAAUUGAUCCAAUAUUAAUGAUUGUAAGAUAAAGUUACCUUAGGGAUAACAGCGUAAUUUUUUUUAAGAGUUCAUAUCAACAAAAAAGAUUGCGACCUCGAUGUUGGAUUAAGGAAUAUGAUUGGGUGUAGAAGUUCAAUUUAUAGGUCUGUUCGACCUUUAAAUCCUUACAUGAUCUGAGUUCAAACCGGUGUAAGCCAGGUUGGUUUCUAUCCUUAUUUUAUAGAAAUAUUUUAGUACGAAAGGACCAAAUAUUUAAAAUAAUUUUGAUUUGUGGAUUAUUAAUA
rnacentral:rRNA from 1 species